CAGUCAACUUGGUCGCCCAACCGUCGGCACAUUUUUCCCGAAUUUCCAGUCGAGUAGUCUGAAGAAUAGUUUGGUCGAAGCAAAGUGAAACUUUGAUUUUCCAAAGAACGCCACGCGAAUCAACGAUUUAUAAAUCAUUUAAAUCAGUGUCGCGAAAUAUCACCACAAGAAGAUGUCGACGUUAGACUACCGAAAGCUGUCUUCGAAUUAUCUUCCUCUUGAAGAAAAAUUUUCACCGACACUCUCCGAAGCUGAAAAAG